rnacentral:rRNA from 1 species
CCUACGGGAGGCAGCAGUGGGGAAUAUUGGACAAUGGGGGGAACUCUGAUCCAGCGACGCCGCGUGAGUGAAGAAGUCUUUCGGUAUGUAAAGCUCUAUCAGCAGGGAAGAAAAUGACGGCACUUGACUAAGAAUCCCCGGCUACCUACGUGCUAGCAGCCGCGGGAAUACGUAGGGGGCAAGCGUUAUCCGGCUUUACUGGGUGGAAAGGGAGCGUAGGCGGUGCAGCAAGUCUGUGGUGAAAGGUCGGGGCCCAACCCCGGAACUGCAUUGGAAACGGUUGAGCUGGAGUAAAGGAGAGGAAAGCGGAAUUCCUAGUGUAGCGGUGGAAUGCGUAGAUAUUAGGAGGAACACCAGUGGCGAAGGCGGCUUGCUGGACUGUAACUGACGUUGAGGCUCGAAAGCGUGGGGAGCAAACAGGAUUAGAUACCCCAGUAGUC